rnacentral:rRNA from 1 species
GACAGAGGAGGCGAGCGUUAUCCGGAGUUAUUGGGCGUAAAGGGUACGUAGGCGGCUGGUCAAGUCUGGGGUUAAAGACCACAGCUUAACUGUGGGGGGGCCUUGGAAACUGACCGGCUGGAGUGGGGCAGGGGUUGCGGGAAUUCCCGGUGUAGCGGUGAAAUGCGUAGAUAUCGGGAAGAUCACCUGAGGCGAAAGCGCGCAACUGGGCCUCAACUGACGCUGAGGUACGAAAGCUAGGGGAGCGAAUGGG